rnacentral:lncRNA from 1 species
UGACAACGACAAGGACUACUGAAAUGGAAGUUGAUCAUAAUAAGGGUCCAUGGAGCAUCUUCUUUCUGCUUCAAAGCAGCAGAUCAAAUCUGAUCUGGCCAGGUCGUUGGGGUAAACUGAUCUUUUAAAGUGACUGAGGGUGUUGAAAGGAGAAGAAGCAAUAUAGUCACCUGUGUCCUUGUCAUGUCAGGUCAUAUGUCUUGGGGAGUCUGUUUAUUUAGAUGCCAGCUUAACAAAGAUUCACCCCAGGGAGUUAACGUCUCGAACAGAGCAUCCGCUUGGGCAGAGCCAGGGAAUGAAACUCAAACCUUUCCAUCUGGCUGCUUGUUGGCAGCCCUUGGCAAAGUCCUGGUGGGAGAAGGGACUGGAGCAGCUGAUUGAAGGGAGGGCUAUGGUUAUCAGUGAAUUCCUGUCCCUCCCCUAUUGCCACACUUAGCUACAAGCGAUUUUGGUGAGUCAUAGAAUAAAAGACCUCCAGAG